CUGUUUUUCAUCAACUUUAUGGUAAUGUUCCCCUCUCUCUCUUGCUCCCUAUUCCUCUCUCUCUUGCUCCCUAUUCCUCUCUCUCUCUCUCUCCCUCUCCUCUCCCUCUCCCUCUCUCCCUCUCUCUCUCUCUCUCUCUCUCUCUCUCUCUCUCUCUCUCUCUCUCUCUCUCUCUCUCUCUCUCAUGUUCCUCCCAGCUCUGCCAGUGCAGUCCAAGCUGCUCUGCAAACGUCAGCCACAGACCCUCUCUCUCUCUCUCUUCUCUCACAUCAGCCGCUCUUCCUCUCUUAAGGUAGGAAACUCUACUAGUCUAACUAACUCUAACUAGUAUAAACUUCAAGCUGUACCGGUCAACCACUGAGCAAUACGCGAAUCAUUCACAAUCGAACAAAAGGAAAACAUUAUCCAACCUAAUCGAACAAACAACAUUAGAAUAGUCUACAUCUGAAAAAUGAGAAGGGAUGUCAUACUGCAGCAGUUUGACAGUCUCCUGUCCUUGGAGAGCCGGAGUGAGGACUUCCUCUCCUUUCAACCCAUGCAGAAGAGGCUGGACAUCUUCCUGAGCAGCGCCAUGGAGCCUUAUCCCGAGCUGUGGGCCUUCUGCAAGAAGCUGCUCAUCCUCUCCCACGGUCAAGCUGCAGUUGAGCGUGGAUUCUCAAUCAAUAAAGAGGUGGAGUCUGAUAACUUGGCGGAGGAUACUGUGGUCACACGGAGACUGGUGUGUGACUACAUCAUACAACAUGGAGGUGUUACCAAGGUUCCACUCAGUAAACCGCUACUGGAAAGUGUAGCAAGGGCAAGGACAAGGUUUCGUACCCAUCUGGAGACCAAAAGAAGGAACAGGGAGGCAAAAGACCAGGCUCUCAAGAGGAGGGAAGCAGAGGACUGUCUUGAGGAGCUGAAGGUUAAGAGGAGACGUGUACAGGAGGUAUCUGAGGGUCUGGCUAGGGAUGCGGACAAGAUGGCUGAGGAGGCUGAAGCGAAGGCAGGGAGCAAGAUGGCUGGCCUGAUCACCAGGUCAAACAUCCUGCGGAGAGGCCAUAAGGAGAAGUUGGCAGAACUGGCUCUCCUUGAUAAAGAGAUCGCUGCUAAGAGUGCAGAGCUUAGGAGUUGACUGUGUGAUCAUAAUUUUAUUUAUUGUUGAGUUGAUUUUCAUUGUUUAUUGUUAAGGAGUCUGUGCUGUUGGCGUAAGUACUCACCACUAUGCUGCAAUAUUCCAUC
ensembl:lncRNA